GGGGCUCCGCGCUCGUCCGGCCGGCCCCGGCCUCGCCGCCCCGCGCAGUACCCACCCGGCCCCGCCGACCCGCCUCUACUGCCGGCUCCGCGCCCUUCCCCGGGGGCUGGAUGAUGGGCUGUUUCGCCCUGCAAACGGUGGACACCGAGCUGACGGCGGACUCGGUGGAGUGGUGCCCGCUGCAAGGCUGCAGGCACCUGCUGGCGUGCGGGACCUACCAGCUGCGGCGGCCGGAGGACCGGCCUGCCGGCCCCCAGAAUAAGGUGUCACAUCCCGGUGGCUGGACAUGCCCUCUUGGGCUUGGCAGAUGCCAGUGGAUCCAUACAACUGCUCCGCCUGGUGGAAUCUGAGAAGAGCCACGUGCUGGAGCCAUUGUCCAGCCUUGCCCUGGAGGAGCAGUGUCUGGCUUUGUCCCUCGAUUGGUCCACUGGGAAAACUGGAAGGGCGGGGGACCAGCCCUUGAAGAUCAUCAGCAGUGACUCCACAGGGCAGCUCCACCUCCUGAUGGUGAAUGAGACGAGGCCCAGGCUGCAGAAAGUGGCCUCAUGGCAGGCACAUCAAUUCGAGGCCUGGAUUGCUGCUUUCAAUUACUGGCAUACAGAAAUUGUGUAUUCAGGGGGUGACGAUGGCCUUCUGAGGGGCUGGGACACCAGGGUACCCGGCAAAUUUCUCUUCACCAGCAAAAGACACACCAUGGGUGUGUGCAGCAUCCAGAGCAGCCCUCAUCGGGAGCACAUCCUGGCCACGGG
rnacentral:sRNA from 1 species